GGCGCGGCCCAAGACGACGCCAAGGGAGCGGACGGGCGGGGAGGAGGUGGCCUCUGCGCAGGCGCAGAGAGGAGCGAGCGACUCCUGCGCAAGCGCAGAGUGAAGGGCCGGGAACAGUGGAGGGUGCGAGGAAGACAAUGGGGGAGGACCCUGAGGCGGCCUCUGUGAGCCGACAGGAACACGUGGUCGAUCAGAGAGAGACUCGAGGUUCGUGAACGGAUGGGGAGGACCCUGAAAAGCACUGUGGAAUACAGGUUUCUAGUAACUUCAAAAUCACAUCAUUUGGACUGGCUUCUUUGGGAUGUCCGCUCUGCAUAUCUACUAAGGAAUUAAGAAAUAAUGGCUUCAGCAAGAAACAAGGCAGGAAAGUGCAGUGACAUGAGGACCAUACAGGGAAGGAGCUGUCCCCAAAGCACGAUGAGCCACUUGAGGCCAGGUACAGCCAUGGCGUGUAUCCCAGAGCACCUGUGAGAAUGUCUCACAGACAGUCCGUCUCUCCUGAAUAUGAAGGGAUGGGCACCAGCCG
rnacentral:lncRNA from 1 species